CAGUCGAGGGAGAACCAUUCGAUCCGUAAGGACCGAAUGGGGAAACCGGCGAACGGGUGCGUAACACGUGAGGAACCUGCCCCGAAGACCGGGAUAGCCCGAGGAAACUCGGAUUAAUACCGGAUACCCUCUUUGGACCACAUGGUCCGCUGAGGAAACGGUCCGCCGCUUCGGGAUGGCCUCGCGGCCUAUCAGCUUGUUGGUGAGGUAACGGCUCACCAAGGCAAAGACGGGUAGCUGGUCUGAGAGGACGAUCAGCCACACUGGGACUGAGACACGGCCCAGACUCCUACGGGAGGCAGCAGCAGGGAAUAUUGCACAAUGGGCGAAAGCCUGAUGCAGCGACACCGCGUGCGGGAUGAAGGCCCUCGGGUUGUAAACCGCUUUCAGGAGGGACGAAAAUGACGGUACCUCCAGAAGAAGGCCCGGCCAACUACGUGCCAGCAGCCGCGGUAAUACGUAGGGGCCAAACGUUGUCCGGAUUUAUUGGGCGUAAAGGGCUCGUAGGCGGUUCAACAAGUCGAUCGUGAAAGCCCGGGGCUCAACCCCGGGACGCCGGUCGAAACUGUUGUGACUAGGGUCCGGUAGAGGUGAGUGGAAUUCUCGGUGUA
rnacentral:rRNA from 1 species